GUAUAAGCAAUUAUACCGCCGAAACUGCGAAUGGCUCAUUAUAUAAGUUAUCGUUUAUUUGAUAGCACAUUACUACAUGGAUAACUGUGGUAAUUCUAGAGCUAAUACAUGCUAAAAAUCCCGACUUCGGAAGGGAUGUAUUUAUUAGAUUAAAAGCCAACGCCCUUCGGGGCUUCGUGGUGAUUCAUGAUAACUUUUCGAAUCGCAUGGCCUUGCGCCGGCGAUGGUUCAUUCAAAUUUCUUCCCUAUCAACUUUCGAUGCGAAGGUCUUGUCUUCGCAUGGUUGCAACGGGUAACGGAGGGUUAGGGCUCGACCCCGGAGAAGGAGCCUGAGAAACGGCUACUACAUCCAAGGAAGGCAGCAGGCGCGCAAAUUACCCAAUCCCGACACGGGGAGGUAGUGACAAUAAAUACUGAUACAGGGCUCUUUUGGGUCUUGUAAUCGGAAUGAGUACAAUUUAAAUCCCUUAACGAGGAACAAUUGGAGGGCAAGUCUGGUGCCAGCAGCCGCGGUAAUUCCAGCUCCAAUAGCGUAUAUUAAAGUUGUUGUGGUUAAAAAGCUCG
rnacentral:rRNA from 1 species